rnacentral:pre_miRNA from 1 species
CUUAUACUCCCUCCGUCCGGAAAUACUUGUCAUUGAAAUGGAUGUAUCUAGAUGUAUUUUAGUUCUAGACACAUCCAUUUUGAUGACAAGUAAUUCCAGACGGAGGGAGUACUUG